CACGUAGGGUGCGAGCGUUGUCCGGAAUUAUUGGGCGUAAAGAGCUCGUAGGCGGUGUGUCGCGUCGGCCGUGAAAACCUGCAGCUUAACUUUGGGCUUGCGGUCGAUACGGGCAUCACUGGAGUUCGGCAGGGGAGACUGGAAUUCCUGGUGUAGCGGUGAAAUGCGCAGAUAUCAGGAGGAACACCGAUGGCGAAGGCAGGGUCUCUGGGCCAUAACUGACGCUGAGAAGCGAAAGCAUGGGGAGCGAACAGG
rnacentral:rRNA from 1 species